AUGGUGCAGGUGAUCUUUAAGGCCCUGGAGGGAAUGGACAACCAGACCAUUCUAGCUGUCCCAUCAUUACUGGAUGGCCAAGGAGCAGUCCCUGAUCCCAGAGGCCAGAGUGUCAAUGCGUCCCCUGCUAUCCAGCCAUUGGAUGAUGAGGAUGUCUUUCUCUGUGGGAAGUGUAAGAAGCAAUUCAACUCGCUGCCAGUGUUUAUGACCCACAAGCGGGAACAGUGCCAAAGAAAUGCCCCCGACCUGGACACAGUCUCGCUGGUCACCAACAGCAUCUACACAAUCUACACACCUUCGGCAGCACCCACAGCGGUCCAGCAGGCCUCGCCUCCUGCCAAUUGCCAGAUCUCUACAUACAUCACAGUGCCCCUGUCCCCACUGAUCCAGGGGAACAUCUUGGUAAGCAAUGACUUGCUCAUGUCUGCCAUUUCAGGCUUCACAUCCCUGGACCAGCCCAUGCCCUAGGGCCCGCGACCUGUGCAGAGCAGCCUGAACAUGCAUUCUGUGCCCAGCCACCUCACCUAGCCUUCACCCCCUCCUCCACCACUGCCCUCACCACCUCCACCCCACAGCCUGGGCCCCCCUGGGCAUCCCAAUCCUGGUGGGAAUGGUGUGGUGAAGGUGUACAGUGCUGCUGCACUCCUGGCUGGGAGUGGAAUGGUGGAGAUCCAGGCACUGGUGAUGCAGCCCUACCCACCCCUGGAGGUGCCAAACCAGUGUGUGGAGGCUCCAGUAUACCCCACCCCCACAGUGUACAGCCCUGGCAAACACCCAAAGGACCAAACCCUGCUGCCCCAUGACCAGUGCCACCGGGGGCACCGUGGCCAUCUUUGACUCUCCACCAAUGCUGAAGACCCCACGGGCUAAAGGUACCAGGGGACUCCUGGAAGCUACAGGGAAGCCAAAGGCUCAGAAACUCAAGUGCCCAUACUGUGACAAGUCAUUCACCAAAAACUUCGACCUGCAGCAGCACAUCUGAAGCCACACAGGUGAGAAGCCCUUCCAAUGCAUUGCAUGUGGCCAUGCCUUUGCCCAGAAGUCUAAUGUUAAGAAACACAUGCAGACCCACAAGGUAUGGCCUUCAGGACACGGUGGUGGCACUGUGUCUCGAAACUCUGUGACUGUACAGGUCUUGGCCCUGAACCCCAGUAGGCAGGAGGAUGAGGAAAACACAGGGUUGGGCCAGCCCCUACCAAGCUCGCCACAGCUCCAGGCCUGGCCCACAGCCAGCGAUAGCAAGGGGCAAGCCGGAAACCCAAGCAGGUAGUCCUCAUCUACAGCUCCUACUUGUUCCAGUUCUGCCCCAGCAAGUUCAGCACCUAUUUCCAGCUCAAGUCUCACAUGACCCAGCAUAAGAACGAGCAGGUGUACAAAUGUGUGGUCAAAAGCUGUGCCCAAACGUUCCCAAAGCUCGACACAUUUCUGGAGCACAUCAAGAGCCACCAGGAGGAGCUGAGCUACCCCGGCCACUUCUGCAACAAGGACUUACCCCCGAUGUACGACCUGAGCGUGCACCAGUACUCCCACAGCCUCCUUCCACAGCACAGCCCCAAGAAGGGCAGUGCCGUCUACAAGUGUGUCAAACGUGUCAACAAAUAUCCACCCCAGAGGCCCUGGAGCAUCACCUGCAGACCGCCACUCACAACUUCCCCUGCCCACACUGCUAGAAGGUGUUUCCUUGUGAACGCUACCUGCAGCGUCAUCUGCCAACCCACCGCAGUGGGGGCAGGUUCAAGGGCCAGGUGUGCAAGAAGUCCUCCCGGCGGGUGCAUUACCUCAAACUGCGCGCUCACAACCACUCAGGCGAGAAGCCCUACAAAUGCUCGGUGUGCGAGUCCGCAUUCAACCUCAAGGACAAACUGUAAGAGAGACAUGUUGAUCCACCAGCCCUUCAAGAAAUAUAAAUGCCCUUUAUCGACGCACACAAGCUGCGGUAAGUUGUUCAACCGGCCGGACAAGCUGAAGGCCCAUGUCCUCUCCCACUCCGGCAUGAAGCUCCACAAAUGCGCCCUGUGCAGCAGGUCCUUCAGCCGCCGUGCCCACCUCGCCGAGCACCUGCGCGCCCACACGGGCUACUACAAGUUCCGCUAUGCUGGCUGUGCCAAGGGCUUUUUCCGCCACAAAUACCUCAAAGAUCACCGCUGUCGUCUCGGCCCCCAGAAGGAAAAGGACCUGCAAACCCGGCGGCACCCCCCCCCCCCACCACCGCCCGCGAGAAGAGGGCAGCCCCGCGCCGUGGCGGCAGUGGUGGGCGCAAGGUGGUGACCCCCUUGCCUGACCCGCUGGGGCUGGAGGAGAUGAAGGACACAGGGGCUGGUCUGGUGCCCGAGGCCGUCCCGGGCAAGCCGCCCUUCGCAGAGCUGAACGCGGAGCUUUCCAUCGUCGUGGGUGGUGCGGUGGGCACAGAAUCUGAGCUGGUGGUACCUGGACAGCUGAGGGGCUGGGCUCCAACCUGGCUCUGGCGGGGCUGCAGGCCGGGGCCGAGGGCCCAUGUGCCAUGCUCGCUGUGCUCAUCUACAUCGAGGCCUCAGAGUGA
rnacentral:lncRNA from 1 species